UGGGGAAUAUUGGGCAAUGGGCGCAAGCCUGACCCAGCAACGCCGCGUGAAGGAAGAAGGCUUUCGGGUUGUAAACUUCUUUUGUCAGGGACGAACAGAUGACGGUACCUGACGAAUAAGCCACGGCUAACUACGUGCCAGCAGCCGCGGUAAUACGUAGGUGGCAAGCGUUAUCCGGAUUUAUUGGGUGUAAAGGGCGUGUAGGCGGGACUGCAAGUCAGAUGUGAAAACCAGGGGCUCAACCUCUGGCCUGCAUUUGAAACUGUAGUUCUUGAGUGUCGGAGAGGCAAUCGGAAUUCCGUGUGUAGCGGUGAAAUGCGUAGAUAUACGGAGGAACACCAGUGGCGAAGGCGGAUUGCUGGACGAUAACUGACGCUGAGGCGCGAAAGCGUGGGGAGCAAACAGG
rnacentral:rRNA from 1 species